rnacentral:rRNA from 1 species
UACGUAGGGUGCGAGCGUUAAUCGGAAUUACUGGGCGUAAAGCGUGCGCAGGCGGUUCUGUACGACCGAUGUGAAAUCCCCGGGCUUUACCUGGGAACUGCAUUGGUGACUGCAGGGCUAGAGUGUGUCAGAGGGAGGUGGAAUUCCGCGUGUAGCAGUGAAAUGCGUAGAGAUGCGGAGGAACACCGAUGGCGAAGGCAGCCUCCUGGGAUAACACUGACGCUCAGGCACGAAAGCGUGGGGAGCAAACAGG